rnacentral:rRNA from 1 species
GGGGAAUAUUGCACAAUGGGGGAAACCCUGAUGCAGCGACGCCGCGUGGAGGAAGAAGGUCUUCGGAUUGUAAACUCCUGUUGUUGAGGAAGAUAAUGACGGUACUCAACAAGGAAGUGACGGCUAACUACGUGCCAGCAGCCGCGGUAAAACGUAGGUCACAAGCGUUGUCCGGAAUUACUGGGUGUAAAGGGAGCGCAGGCGGGAGAACAAGUUGGAAGUGAAAACCAUGGGCUCAACCCAUGAAUUGCUUUCAAAACUGUUUUUCUUGAGUAGUGCAGAGGUAGAUGGAAUUCCCGGUGUAGCGGUGGAAUGCGUAGAUAUCGGGAGGAACACCAGUGGCGAAGGCGGUCUACUGGGCACCAACUGACGCUGAGGCUCGAAAGUGUGGGUAGCAAACAGGAUUAGAUACCCUGGUAGUCCACACCGUAAACGAUGAUUACUAGGUGUUGGAGGAUUGACCCCUUCAGUGCCGCAGUUAACACAAUAAGUAAUCCACCUGGGGAGUACGACCGCAAGGUUGAAACUCAAAGGAAUUGACGGGGGCCCGCACAAGCAGUGGAGUAUGUGGUUUAAUUCGACGCAACGCGAAGAACCUUACCAAGUCUUGACAUCCCUUGACAGGCAUAGAAAUAUGUUUUCUCUUCGGAGCAAGGAGACAGGUGGUGCAUGGUUGUCGUCAGCUCGUGUCGUGAGAUGUUGGGUUAAGUCCCGCAACGAGCGCAACCCUUAUGGUCAGUUACUACGCAAGAGGACUCUGGCCAGACUGCCGUUGACAAAACGGAGGAAGGUGGGGAUGACGUCAAAUCAUCAUGCCCUUUAUGACUUGGGCUACACACGUACUACAAUGGCGUUAAACAAAGAGAAGCAAGACCGCGAGGUGGAGCAAAACUCAGAAACAACGUCCCAGUUCGGACUGCAGGCUGCAACUCGCCUGCACGAAGUCGGAAUUGCUAGUAAUCGUGGAUCAGCAUGCCACGGUGAAUACGUUCCCG